UAGGGAAUCUUCCGCAAUGGGCGAAAGCCUGACGGAGCAACGCCGCGUGAGUGAUGAAGGUCUUCGGAUCGUAAAACUCUGUUAUUAGGGAAGAACAAAUGUGUAAGUAACUAUGCACGUCUUGACGGUACCUAAUCAGAAAGCCACGGCUAACUACGUGCCAGCAGCCGCGGUAAUACGUAGGUGGCAAGCGUUAUCCGGAAUUAUUGGGCGUAAAGCGCGCGUAGGCGGUUUUUUAAGUCUGAUGUGAAAGCCCACGUCUCAACAGUGGAGGGUCAUUGGAAACUGGAAAACUUGAGUGCAGAAGAGGAAAGUGGAAUUCCAUGUGUAGCAGUGAAAUGCGCAGAGAUAUGGAGGAACACCAGUGGCGAAGGCGACUUUCUGGUCUGUAACUGACGCUGAUGUGCGAAAGCGUGGGGAUCAAACAGG
rnacentral:rRNA from 1 species